AUCCGGCCAGUAGUCAUACGCUCGUCUAAAAGAUUAGGCCAUGUUUGUCUAAGUAUAAAUUCUUUUACUUUGAAACUGCGAACGGCUCAUUAUAUCAGUUAUAGUUAAUUUGAUAGUCCCUUACUACUUGGAUAACCGGAGUAAUUCUAGAGCUAAUACAUGCUUCAAUACCCAACUGUUCGCGGACGGGUAGUAUUUAUUAAAUAGAAACCAACCCUCUUCGGAGGCGCUCAGGUGAUUCAUGAUAACUCUGCGAAUCGCAUGGCCUCGUGCCGGCGAUGGAUCAUUCAAGUUUCGGCCCUAUCAGCUUUGGAUGGUAGGGUAUUGGCCUACCAUGGCUUUAACGGGUAACGGAAAAUUAGGGUUAGAUUCCGGAAAGGGGGCAUGAGAGAUGGCCACCACAUCCAGGGAAGGCAGCAGGCGCUAAAAUUACCCAAUCUUGGCACGGGGAGGUGGUGACAAGAAAUACCAAUAUGAGGCAUUCUGUCUUGUAAUUGGAAUGAGAACAAUUUAAAUCCCUUACCGAGUAUCAUUG
rnacentral:rRNA from 1 species